rnacentral:lncRNA from 1 species
GGGAGGGUGGCGUUCCUGAGUCCGCGGAGGAAAGGGUCGCAGCUGCAGUCGCGCCAGCCCUCGGGCCUACAUCCGCUCCGCCGCGACGCGGCUCACAAACUAGGGAGGGGAGAAGGGAAGAAAGACCCGAUUCGGGAACACGGCUUUGUCCCUGGAACUGUACCUCAUGUCCCCUCACUUAAUCCUCCCAAGACCUGUGGGGCGUGUCGUCAUUUUAGGGCUGGAGAUGAGGAAACCGAGGCUCGGAGAGAUGAAGCGUUGUACGGCCACCGAGCGGCUGCUUUGCAACGAAGCCAAAGCCAACGUUUUGUUCUUAGCGGCGGUCGUUUGAGCCACGCCUCACCGCAACGAGUCUGCCAUCAGCCAAGAGGUCACAUCUUUUCUGGAACUCGCUCCCCCCUCACAUCAUGGGAGCAGUCAGUCUACUCUUCCAGUAGAAACUGUUUUGCCACUUUUGGGGGGAAUCUUGAGCUACCAGCUCAUCGCUCAGAUGGAGUGAAGGUACCUGAGCGCAGGAACCAUGGUCUUCAUUGCUGCCUCAGCAUUAGCGGAAGUGCCACGGGCCGGCUCCCAGGGGGCCAGAGUUUCCCAGGAACACCAUUGAGUACCACUGAACUAGAGUCUGCAAGUUAAAGUAAGGCAAGAAGGAAAACCGGAAACAACUGUAAAAACCUGACCUUUCGUCACCUUAAUACUGGCCAUCAUUUAUCGAGUGCUUAUUAUGUAACAGACAUUGUUCUCAGUGUGUGAGUGCAGUGUUCCUCAAACCUAAAUGUGGGCCUGAAUCGCAGCGGAUCUUGGUAAAAUGCAGUUUCUCAUUCAGUACCUCUGGGGUGCGGCCUGAGAUUCUGCAUUUCCAACAAGCUCCCAGGAUACUUUGUAUAGAAAGGCUUUGGUGUAUUAACUAACUCGAUCUUCUUAAUAAUCCUAUGAAAUACUACUGCUAUUCCCAUUUUACAGAUGAGGAAACAGAGGUUAAGCAUAUAUGAACUUACAUCAAAAUAAAUAGACUGCAGGGCAAGGAGGGAGGGGAGAAUAGUGUGGGCAGUGUACAGUGCAGAAACAAAGUUCUAGGCAGAGGAAAAAGGAUUUACAGAAAGCCUGGCAUACAGGGCAGGGGGACGGGGCCUGCACACGGGGCUGUUUCACCGUUAGACGUUAUAAGCACAGUACUUGGGGCUAUGGGCUUCCUGAAGGUCCCAAGUAUUUGAGACCUGAAAAAAAUUUAUUGACACCUACAUAGGAAAAGUGAACUUUUAAAUUAAUAAUUCCAAAAUUCAAAUCACGAAUUGUUUCAAAAAUUUUACAUGAUAGAAUUCAUAUUUAGUAAGCGAUACGGGUAUAUUUUAAUGCAUUUGAUUUUAAAAACGGGGUAGGGCCUACUAAGAACAGGCCAAGCCCUGGCCCCAGUGGGUUUGGAUAUAAUCCUGAGGGCAGCUGGGAACCACUGAGAGAAGCAGGAGAAUGUUCUCUGUGGCUACAGUGAGGAGAAUGGAUUGGAGGGAGGCCAGACUGGAGGCCCAGUGGCUAGAGACCAGAUAGGCAGUUACAGUCUUCCAGACUGCGAGACAAUCUCUCUUUAGUGCCAAGAUUAGCAUAAAAUCAUAGCAUUAUAUAACCCAAUUAUUCUUUGAUUCCUGCAUCCCCAAUCUGACUCAGCAUUCUAAAUUUACUUAAGAUCUGGGGACAAGGGUUUUUGGCAAAUCCUUGAAGGCAAAUGAUGUUACAGUCAAUCAGUAUAUGCCUUGAGCCAGACAGACAUGGGUACGGGCCUCAGUUCUGCUGCUUGCUAGCUAUGUGACUUUGCACAAGUGAUUUAACUUCUCUGGGCCUUGGAUUCCUUACUGGUAACACGAGCAUAAUCGAUUCCUCACAGAAUUAAGUGAGAAAACUAUGUAUGUAGGACUUCUUAUGGAGUGGGUACUUAGAAAUAAAUGGUAGCCGUUAUCAUUUAUGUGCCUUUGUUCUGAAAUCUGCUUAAGUUUUCUCUAGGAAGUAACAG